rnacentral:piRNA from 1 species
UGGAAGAGAAGGAAGGACAGUGAUCAG